AGCGCAGGCGGAUAGGUCAGUCUAAGGUGGAAUCCCGGGGCUCAACCUCGGAACUGCUUCGGAUACUGCCUGUCUUGAGUUCGUGAGAGGAAAGCGGAAUUCAGGGUGUAGCGGUGAAAUGCUUAGAUAUCCUGAGGAACACCAAUGGCGAAGGCAGCUUUCUGGCGCGAUACUGACGCUGAGGCUCGAAAGCGUGGGGAGCGAACG
rnacentral:rRNA from 1 species